rnacentral:rRNA from 1 species
AACGAACGCUGGCGGCAUGCCUAACACAUGCAAGUCGAACGCUCCGCAAGGGGAGUGGCGAACGGGUGAGUAACGCGUGGGAAUCUACCCAGCAGUGGGGAAUAACCGCGGGAAACUGCGGCUAAUACCGCAUACGCCCUUAGGGGGAAAGAUUUAUCGCUGUUGGAGGAGCCCGCGUCGGAUUAGCUAGUUGGUGAGGUAAUGGCUCACCAAGGCGACGAUCCGUAGCUGGUCUGAGAGGAUGAUCAGCCACACUGGGACUUAGACACGGCCCAGACUCCGACGGGAGGCAGCAGUGGGGAAUAUUGGACAAUGGGGGCAACCCUGAUCCAGCAAUGCCGCGUGAGUGAUGAAGGCCUUAGGGUUGUAAAGCUCUUUUACCCGGGAUGAUAAUGACAGUACCGGGAGAAUAAGCCCCGGCUAAUUCCGUGCCAGCCGCCGCCGUAACAC